rnacentral:rRNA from 1 species
CACGUAGUUAGCCGGAGCUUCCUCCUCUGCUACCGUCAUCAUCUUCACAGAGGACAGAGGUUUACAAUCCGAAAACCGUCUUCCCUCACACGGCGUUGCUGGUUCAGGGUUUCCCCCAUUGACCAAUAUCCCUUACUGCUGCCUCCCGUAGGAGUCUGGGCCGUGUCUCAGUCCCAAUGUGGCCGUCCAACCUCUCAGUCCGGCUACCGAUCGUCGGCUUGGUGGGCCGUUACCCCACCAACUACCUAAUCGGACGCGAGCCCAUCUUUCAGCGGAUUGCUCCUUUGAUUAUCCUACCAUGCGAUAAGAUAAUGUCAUGCGGUAUUAGCGUUCGUUUCCAAACGUUAUCCCCCUCUGAAAGGCAGGUUGCUCACGCGUUACUCACCCGUCCGCCACUAAGAUAUCCAAGAUUCAUUACCGAAGUACUUCAUCAGCGAAUAUCUCCGUUCGACUUGCAUGUAUUAGGCACGCCGCAGCGU